UACAGAGGUCUCAAGCGUUGUUCGGAUUCAUUGGGCGUAAAGGGUGCGUAGGCGGCGCGGUAAGUCGGGUGUGAAAUCUUGGAGCUUAACUCCGAAACUGCAUUCGAUACUGCCGUGCUUGAGGACUGGAGAGGAGACUGGAAUUUACGGUGUAGCGGUGAAAUGCGUAGAUAUCGUGAAGGAAGACCCAGUGGCGAAAGG
rnacentral:rRNA from 1 species